UACAGAGGGUGCAAGCGUUGUUCGGAAUUACUGGGCGUAAAGCGCACGUAGGCGGCUUUGUAAGUUAGAGGUGAAAGCCCAGGGCUUAACCCUGGAAUUGCCUUUAAGACUGCAUCGCUAGAAUCGUGGAGAGGUGAGUGGAAUUCCGAGUGUAGAGGUGAAAUUCGUAGAUAUUCGGAAGAACACCAGUGGCGAAGGCGACUCACUGGACACGGUAUUGACGCUGAGGUGCGAAAGCGUGGGGAGCAAACAGG
rnacentral:rRNA from 1 species